UACGUAGGCAGCAAGCGUUGUUCGGAGUUACUGGGCGUAAAGGGUGCGUAGGCGGCCCUGUAAGUAUGGUGUGAAAUCUCCCGGCUUAACUGGGAGGGUGCGCUAUAGACUGCGGGGCUCGAGUGUGGGAGAGGAAAGUGGAAUUCCUGGUGGUAGCGGUGAAAUGCGUAGAUAUCAGGAGGAACACCGGUGGUGUAAACGGCUUUCUGGACCAUAACUGACGCUGAGGCACGAAAGCGUGGGUAGCAAACAGG
rnacentral:rRNA from 1 species